rnacentral:sRNA from 1 species
AGCAACCAGUUGUCUUUGUUUGAUGUUAUAUAAUUUUGACCCGCUCCAAUAUGAGCAUAAAAGUGGGGAUAGUCCAACGAUAUGCGAAUAUUAGGUGGAAUUGUGGGAGUACGUGGCACGGAACAAUCCGUAGGUACCA